ACUGUGAGAAUAUGUUAAUAAAUGGACUGUGCACAUCAACCACAUUUGCUUUAUUAAGGUAAACGUUUGUUCCCACUAUCGAGGCUAUACUCAAACGCGUCCAACCACAAGAUCAUCGGAAAGUAUAUUGCAGUUUGGUCCGACCAGAUCUCGACUAAACUGUAUGAACAAUUAGUGUAUAAUGGAUAGCUUUCCUUAGCGAC